CCCCUAGUAACUGCGAGUGAAGCGGGAAAAGCUCAAAUUUGAAAUCUGGCAGUCUUUUUUUUCUUCUUUGGCUGUCCGAGUUGUAAUCUAGAGAAGUGCUUACCUGCACUGGACCAUGUAUAAGUCUCCUGGAAUGGAGCCUCACAGAGGGUGAGAAUCCCGUCUUUGACAUGGACUGCCAGUGUGUUGUGGUGUGCUCUCAAAGAGUCGAGUUGUUUGGGAAUGCAGCUCUAAAUGGGUGGUAAACUCCAUCUAAAGCUAAAUAUUGGCGAGAGACCGAUAGUGAACAAGUACCGUGAGGGAAAGAUGAAAAGGACUUUGGAAAGAGAGUUAAACAGUAUGUGAAAUUGUUGAAAGGGAAACGCUUGAAGUCAGUUAUGUCGUCUAGGGAUCAACCCGGCUAUUUUUUGCUGGGUGAAUUUCCUAGCCUGACAGGCCAACAUCAGUCUUGACUGCUGGAAAAGAGCAGAGGGAAUGUGGCACCUUUGGGUGUGUUAUAGCCCUCUGUCAUGUGUGGCAGUUGGGACUGAGGGAUGCAGCAUGCCGUGAGGCUGGGUUUCUGACCACGUUCAUGCUUAGGAUGUUGGCUUUUAAUGGCUUCAAUCGACCCGUCUUGAAACACGGACCAAGGAGUCCAACAUGCCUGCGAGUGUUUGGGUGGGGAAAACCCUUUUGCACAAUGAAAGUGAAAGUUGAGAUCCUUGUCAUGGGGAGCAUCGACGCCCGGACCUGAGCUUUUAGUGACGGAUCCGCGGUAGAGCAUGCAUGUUGGGACCCGAAAGAUGGUGAACUAUGCCUGAAUAGGGCAAAGCCAGAGGAAACUCUGGUGGAGGCUCGUAGCGAUUCUGACGUGCAAAUCGAUCGUCAAAUUUGGGUAUAGGGGCGAAAGACUA
rnacentral:rRNA from 1 species